UGGUGUCGCUGUCGCCAGCUGUCUCGUUGGUCUCUCAAUUUCACUCUCUUCUUCUUCAACAAGCUGAAAGGGAUAUGGGGGGAAAUUAAGGUUAGGGCUUUUCCUCGGCGAAUUUGCAAGGCUUUCUCUGAUACAUCAUGAACCAGGGAGAAAGCACGCUUGGGCCACCACCACAUCACCGGAUACCUAACAACAAUUCCAACGUCGAAACCAUCCUUCUCCGGCACAAGAGCAGCGUCAACAUUCGUUUUUAACCGACCUACAGUCAGAGAAUUCCAGCGACACUCCUCUCUAAAACUCAAUGGAGGGUCCACGGCCUGAGGGGCCUUGUCGUCUGGCAAGAUAGGAAGAUGGAAACACUGCAUCUAGGAGGCUCUACGAUCAGCGGAUCUUCGAACAUCGCGUAUACACGCUUCGAUCCAACAACCUUCCCUUCCACCGGAUAGAUAUCUAUAGACUGAUUCCAUCAACAAUAUGAUUAAGGACAGGUGUUGUAAGAUUGGAUAACUUUCAGAAAGUUAUGAUGUCAGUCUCCAUAUGUGUGGCCUAUAUCUCACUGGAAAUACAUUUUAUGGCCUAGUUCUCACCGAAAAGGAAUAAUUCAAGGAGAUUGGGGCACUUCUUAUUUAGGAACGUUAGAUCUUCACUCAAACCAGGAGAAAGGUAAAGUCGAGUUUAUUUCCCUCUUCAUUGUGGAGAAGUCUUCAGAGGUAGCAAAGCAGAGAUUGAAUGAACCAAUAGUGGCAAACUUGGAGGUUCUAUUUGAGCGUGUCAAAGAGUCGGCAAUAAAUCAGAAGAUUGUAGAUAAUUCUUUACAGUUUCAAUGCAGUGAAGUGUCAGAUCAUUUGAAAUUUAUGGUAGAGGAUUGUAAUCUUAUUUUAACUUUCAGCAUUACUCUUUGAUUGAUACCGAGGAAGUGCGCGGGUUAUAUUUAUACAUGGAAUACGAGAGGAUUAAAAGAUCUAAAGAAGAGAUUGGCUCUCAAGAGAUUCUUGAAGUUGCAUAAUCCAGAGAUAGUUUUAAGUUUUAUCAGAUCAAUUUGGAGUUCCAAGGAUGUAGGGUGGGUUUUUGUGAAUCGGAUGUUGUACAUGUACCAGAAAGAUGGAUGAAGUUUAUUUGAAGCUUAUGUUACAUUUAACUGGGCCCAACUGCAGCAAAAGAAAAAAUGGGGUUGCAGAACAACACAUCAGCAAACACCAUGUUUCAUAGGGAAAUUGCUGAGGUCCAAUAUCGUUAUAACAGAUAAAUACAGAAGUAUAGCCUCUAAAAAAAAUUCACACGAAUUUGGUUCAAUUAGCCUACGAGACACUGGAUACAGCCGAAGAGGAUGGUGCUGUCGUUUGGGAUUCAACUUGAAUGUCCGUUACUUCAGGAGCAGGAAUGUCUGAUUGACUUUGAAUCUCUGUUACUUCAGGAGUGACACCGUCGACUUGAGAGGACGACUCGGGUUCACUUUGUACCGGUUGGACAAUUUCUCGUGUAUUGAACUUAUUGAUAUAGUAACUGAGUGAGGGUCCAGUGUAUUCAACAGUCUUCACUUCAGGUGGUUUCUUACCAACUUGAAGCAGUAUAGAUGAAGCUGCAGCGACCGCAAUGAGUGCAAUUCCACCAGCAAUUGCCAGUGUGUUCUCAGCCCCUUCAGAAGAAGAACCUGCAGUCCCGGAGCUUAUAGCACUUUCUGCUACAUAAACUACUGGCUGCAUGUACACGUGAUUUAAAGAGCCAGGGUGAUUAAACAUCCAAAGUAAUAAAGAAAUAAAGAAAAAAGGAAGUGUAAUUGAAUCGUGUCUCCCUCAAAUCAAUAAGUAUUUUGUUUUUGGUUUUAUAUUUUAGAAAA